ACUGAUAAGACACAGUUAUCAUAUUUUAAAUUGUUUUUAUUGUUGUUAUAUUUUGAUAACUACUAAUUUAUAAUAUGAAAACUUAAAGUAGUGCCAACCUAAUGUCGAAAUAAUUUUAUUUUUCUCAAAAUGGUAACUCUAAAUGUAUUCUAUUUACUUGCUUCAAUUCACUACACAUAACACCCACCGUGCAAGAAACUGUUACAAACAUUCCAAGAAUAUACCAUUUUAAGUUCCGAUACUAAUAUAAGAAUGGUACAUUCUCUGAAAGUUUCUGUAAUGUUCCAAAAAAACAUGAGUUAUAUACAUUUUAAGUUCCAAUGUAGACAUUACAAUGGAACGUUCCCUACACACCUACAUUUAUGGUUUUAUAAAAAUAUUGCUUUGUAAACGUGUAUAAUGUUUCCAAUACGUUACGGGAAUAUUCCAGAAAAACACGAUAGCUCUAGCCGAUCCGAUAAUAAUGGGUAAUUUUUGAUUGUUAUAUCUAAAAAUAAAUAUUUUUAUAAACACGGUAUAAUCUGUAUAUGUAUAAUACGUUAUACGUGGACACAGACUAUCAGUGACCGUGGCGGCAUUAUUUAUCAUUUCCCAUUGUCUGCUCUCGCCGUCUCCAGCGCACUUAUAACUUACAAGUACUUAAUAUUUUAAUUAUAUUUACGUGUAACUGUGGUGAGAAUACUGUAAACGACAUAAAUUUGUUUUGUAUCAAGUAUUAUAGUGUUUUGAAUCGUCAUUGAACAGUUUAAUUUCCCUAACACUAUGGCGAAUGUGAAUAAAAAGAAUUGGUCAAUGAAAUGGGUGGUGGCAAAAUUCACAGACACUAAAGAUUAUAGUGUUCUCCCCAUAAACUGACUGGUGGAAAACAAAACAGAAAAGUUGACCACUAGCACAAUCAAAUUUUGUAAGUGGCCACCGAUUAGAACUGUGACUAGCGAUGAUUUAAAAAAAGCUGUCAAACCAAAUGAUUCAUGGGCACAGUAUCAAAUUAAGAUACUUGGAGGCAACAAAACUUACGAAAAUUUUGGUAAAGCGUGGCAUAUACAAGUAGGGACAUCUGAUAUCGAAGAAUAACAAAUAGCAAAAAUAAGAUGCAUGAUUCCAGUAUCUGAUAGUACAGAUGACGAAGGUAUGGUGGAUUAUAGAACUUUUAAAAAAAUGCUGCAUAAUAUUAUUUACACCCGAGUACACUUCAGUGGCGGUUCUGGCAUUCAAUUUUGGAGGAGGCAAUAUGUUGUAACUCAGGCUAACGUGUGGGGGGCUUCGCCCCCACACCACCCCACCACACCACACCAUCAA